rnacentral:Y_RNA from 1 species
AGCUGGUCCAAAAGUAGUAAAUUAUUUUAAUUGAUUGUUCACAGUCAGUUACAGAUUGAACUCCUUUUUCUACUCUUUCCUCUUCUCACUACUGCACCUUACUAGUGGAAA